ensembl:lncRNA
AGUGAAUAAAAUGCCUGCUGGGACAUCUGCGUCUCUCUGCUGGAUUCUACUCUCUGUCUGCCUCCUGUUUGCCUUUACAGAUGGGAAAAUCAUCAAAGCUGAGCCUGGACAGAACAUCUCUCUGCCAUGCCGAACUCCAAACAUCAGCGUGCCCAUCAGAGCUGUGGAGUGGUUCAGACUUGACCUCCAGGAAGGACAUGUCCUUAUGUACCGGGGUGAGCAGUUUAUUUCAAUGAACCAGCUUCCAUCAUUUGUGAACCGGGUGGAUCUGCAGGACAGACAGAUGAAGGACGGAGACGUGUCUUUGAUUCUGAAGGAUGUGACGAGUGACGACACUGGAACAUUUCAGUGUUACGUUGUCCAGAGAGGAACAAAUGGCAGGAGAAGCAUUGUUGAUCAUAUCAGCACCGUCUACCUGAGAGUUGUUCCUCCAGGUCAACCAGGAAGGCACAGCAGGUACAGAUGGAAUGAGGAUCGAUCUGUUGGGCUGGAUCUUUUCCUGACAGUUUGUUUUAUGCUUGUUACUGUAGCUCUUGCUUUCUUUAUGACCUUCACAAUACCCAAAACAUUAAUAAACCUCAGAGGACUGAACAGGUGAAUUUUGUGUAAUCUGUUAGUUGCAAGCAGCGAUUGACAUCAAGCAGUCGGCUGUAGACGUCUAACAUUUGAAUUGACUUGUUUUGUCUUUGUCAGGAUUUUUCCUUAAAAAUAUUCUUGAGACGAUUAAAAAAACAUCAUGAUUUAUGACAUGAAUGCCAUCAAUUUGUGAACACAUUUAAUGAGCAGUGAAUCACUGUGAUUUUUACUUUCCACAAUAAGUAUUUUAUAUAAUUAAAACAAACAAAGAAAAACACACCUUUCAGUAUUUCAUAUACUUUGAACCUGGAUGUUUUUUGAAGACCUGAAACAUAAACGUGCCUGUUUUUAAGGAACUCAAUGCCUGCUGUUUAAAAAGGAUUUAAAAGGAGAGAGCGAUGGGCACUGAGACGAAGACCUGGUUCACUCCAAAACAAUCCACUUUGUGUGUGUGUGUGUGUGUGUGUGUGUGUGAGAGAGAGAGAGAGAGAUUUUGCUUUUAAACAGCUGAAACAGAGUCAGCAUCUUUGUUUUGUUUAAACAUAAAAGAUUUAUUUGAAAUGCAGCACAGUUUAUUUAUAUAAAAUCCUUCAUGGAGCUUCGUUUUGUGUUCUUUUUUGCUUUUAAAUGCAAUUUCUGUUCUGCUUUUUUGAUGUUAUUAACGUUUAAACUUAGUCAUACAUGUGUUUGUGUUUUUUGGGGAAUUUUGAUUCUUUUUUCCUCUUGGAGACAAUGAAGGAAAAAAACACUCUGUUCUUUAAAGCAGUCAAUCCAGGUUUAAUCUGAUCUGUAAUCAGUUUUUGUCAUGAUUUGAAUGUAUUUGGUGAGCAAUCGAUUAGGUGUUUUUGUUGUUCUUUGCAGCAGCCAUGAAUAGCUAGGCAUGGAACUUAUGACGUGUGUAUGCGUGCCUUUUAAAUAACUCACCCUUCAUGCUUAUUGUAGUACUUUUACCUUUACCUAUUGGGGGGAGAAGAAUUCCCAUUUAUUUCCUGUGGUGGUCACUUUCGACCUGGGAACACCACAAAUGUAACAAAGUUGAUUAAAACACUUAAAAUUAAGCAAAAAAUCGAAAAAGGUGCUCAUCACUUUUAUAUGUUCAAGGGCAUAGUGUGGAGGAUGUUAUAAAGCCUUAAGGCAAUCAUAUGAGGAGCCGUACAAGCCAAAAUUCAUUCUUUCACUCUCACACACAUUCUUCUUUCACACACAUCUACUUUCACUUUCACACACAUAUAUUCUUCUUUCACAUACUUUCACUCUCAUUUAGUUUUAUUUUAAUUUUUAUAUUUAGAUAUUUUUAUUCUCAUGUUUACACAUAUUUAACAC